UAGGGAAUCUUCGGCAAUGGGGGGAACCCUGACCGAGCAACGCCGCGUGAGUGAAGAAGGUUUUCGGAUCGUAAAGCUCUGUUGUUAAGGAAGAACGAGUGUGAGAAUGGAAAGUUCAUACUGUGACGGUACUUAACCAGAAAGGGACGGCUAACUACGUGCCAGCAGCCGCGGUAAUACGUAGGUCCCGAGCGUUGUCCGGAUUUAUUGGGCGUAAAGCGAGCGCAGGCGGUUAGAUAAGUCUGAAGUUAAAGGCAGUGGCUCAACCAUUGUAGGCUUUGGAAACUGUUUAACUUGAGUGCAGAAGGGGAGAGUGGAAUUCCAUGUGUAGCGGUGAAAUGCGUAGAUAUAUGGAGGAACACCGGUGGCGAAAGCGGCUAUCUGGUCUGUAACUGACGCUGAGGAUCGAAAGCGUGGGGAGCGAACAGG
rnacentral:rRNA from 1 species